rnacentral:rRNA from 1 species
CGGGUGAGUAACACGUGAGUGACCUGCCUUUUAGACUGGAACAACUUACCGAAAGGUGAGCUAAUGCCGGAUGAGUUAUAUAAGUGCAUGUUUAUAUAGGAAAAGUUGGGGAGACCUGACGCUGAAAGAUGGACUCGCGUCCCAUUAGCUAGUUGGUAGAGUAAUGGCCUACCAAGGCGACGAUGGGUAGCCGGCCUGAGAGGGUGGCCGGCCACACUGGGACUGAGACACGGCCCAGACUCCUACGGGAGGCAGCAG